rnacentral:rRNA from 1 species
UGCCUUACACAUGCAAGUCGAACGGCAGCACGGGGGCAACCCUGGUGGCGAGUGGCGAACGGGUGAGUAAUGCAUCGGAACGUGCCCAGUAGUGGGGGAUAACCAGUCGAAAGGCUGGCUAAUACCGCAUACGACCUAAGGGUGAAAGCGGGGGACCGUAAGGCCUCGCGCUAUUGGAGCGGCCGAUGUCUGAUUAGCUAGUUGGCGGGGUAAGAGCCCACCAAGGCGACGAUCAGUAGCUGGUCUGAGAGGACGACCAGCCACACUGGGACUGAGACACGGCCCAGACUCCUACGGGAGGCAGCAGUGGGGAAUUUUGGACAAUGGGCGCAAGCCUGAUCCAGCCAUGCCGCGUGCGGGAAGAAGGCCUUCGGGUUGUAAACCGCUUUUGGCAGGAACGAAACGGCGCAAGCCAAUACCUUGCGCUAAUGACGGUACCUGCAGAAUAAGCACCGGCUAACUACGUGCCAGCAGCCGCGGUAAUACGUAGGGUGCAAGCGUUAAUCGGAAUUACUGGGCGUAAAGCGUACGCAGGCGGCUUUGCAAGACAGGUGUGAAAUCCCCGGGCCUAACCUGGGAACUGCAUUUGUGACUGCAUGGCUAGAGUCUGUCAGAGGGGGGUGGAAUUCCACGUGUAGCAGUGAAAUGCGUAGAGAUGUGGAAGAACACCGAUGGCGAAGGCAGCCCCCUGGGAUGAGACUGACGCUCAUGUACGAAAGCGUGGGGAGCAAACAGGA